GAUGAACGCUGGCGGCGUGCCUAAUACAUGCAAGUCGAGCGAACAGACGAGGAGCUUGCUCCUCUGACGUUAGCGGCGGACGGGUGAGUAACACGUGGAUAACCUACCUAUAAGACUGGGAUAACUUCGGGAAACCGGAGCUAAUACCGGAUAAUAUAUUGAACCGCAUGGUGCAAUAGUGAAAGACGGUUUUGCUGUCACUUAUAGAUGGAUCCGCGCCGCAUUAGCUAGUUGGUAAGGUAACGGCUUACCAAGGCAACGAUGCGUAGCCGACCUGAGAGGGUGAUCGGCCACACUGGAAUUGAGACACGGUCCAGACUCCUACGGGAGGCAGCAGUAGGGAAUCUUCCGCAAUGGGCGAAAGCCUGACGGAGCAACGCCGCGUGAGUGAUGAAGGUCUUCGGAUCGUAAAACUCUGUUAUUAGGGAAGAACAAAUGUGUAAGUAACUAUGCACGUCUUGACGGUACCUAAUCAGAAAGCCACGGCUAACUACGUG
rnacentral:rRNA from 1 species